CCUCCAGAUGUGAGUGUGUUCUGAGUGUGUCACACUCCAGAUGUGAGUGUGUCAUCAAUCACUUUGAUGAUUUUUAUAUCUUAGUUAUUGUAAUAAUGUUGCCAUGAGUAUGGGGUUUGCAGGUAUGUUUUCAAAAUAGUGUUUUUCUUUUCUGCAGAUACAUACCCAGAGUUGGAAAAACUGGAUCAUGAGGUUGUUCUAUUUUGAAAAUUAGACCACGGAUGUGUGAAUAGAGACAGAGACCUAGGGAGCCACAGAAACCAGCAGGACUCUCAGGGCUUUGCACCAUGGGGAGGAAUGUGCUCUGUAACCAGCAGGGGGCGCUGUGGGACUUCCCUGGGGUCCCCACACAGCUGCUCAAUGAAGACCAUUCAGGCAAAGGAGCUGGGUGGGGGUGGGGCACAGUCACAGGGAGACCCGCCCUGUGCUCCCUGAUGGUAACUCAGCAGCUAUGUCUUUUAUGGCCUGUCAGAGUCCUCUGAACAAAGAUGGUUGAGUUUUCUCAGCAGGUGUUUCGUCUAAGGGCUCUUUCACGGGGUGAAAUCAAUCUUCAUUCUCCUCACUCUGGGGUGUGAGCUGAGCUCCAGCACCAGGGCUCAGGGAGGGGCUGGGCAGCCUCUGGGUGGACACACAUUUGCAUGGACUGCCCCUCCCCUGGCAGAGGGUGGGCAGAAAAGAGGCCUGGGCAGCCCAGCCCCACUGUGGGCUCAGGGGCUGUGUGCACCAUGGCCUGGACCCCUCUGCUCCUCGUGUUCCUCUCUCACUGCACAGGUAGGGACAGGCCUUGGUAUCAGGCCUCUGUUCCUAUUUAUUCUCUUCAUACUCCAUCUGCUAAGAAAUCUCCCCUGAUUUUUAUCUCAUCACUGAAAAGUAUGUACUUCCCAGGUUCCCUCUCAUACCCUGUGCUGACUCAGCUGCCCUCCCUCUCUGCAUCUCCUGGAGCUACAGCCAGACUCACCUGCACCAUGAGCAGUGGCUUCAGUGUUGACAACUACUACACAAACUGUCUCAGGAAGCAGAAACCAAACCAAAACAAAACAUUAAUGACACAGCAGUGCUGCCAUGUGCACUACAACCAGAGCCUGUGGAACUUCCCUCUUUCCCUUGGGAUAAGAUGUAGUUGGAAAUGUCCAUCACUCCAGGGUGUGGGCCAGUCUAUGGGCCAGCAGAAGUAGGACAUCCCUGAGGUGUUCCUGAGUCACUGCCCCUGGAAAGCUCUUGAUCGGCCCAGAAUUACCAUGUGACCAGCUUCAAAAACACUCCUCAGAGAGGCUUGUUAGAAUGACAAGGGAGCAGAAGUGCAGCUGCUGUGACCUGUUUCCCCAGAACCUGCUGCUCCCAGGAAAGCGCCUAAAGACCAUGGGAUGGUGGGAGACAGUGGGUUCGCUGUCAGUGCUGCACUUGUGGUAAAGUCAGUGUAACAGUCGAAAUGGGAUUCGGCCAGCUUCCAGUAUUUUUUUUCCCAAAUACAUGAUCUGUAUUAAA